rnacentral:rRNA from 1 species
AAUCAACGCUGGCGGCGUGCCUGACACAUGCAAGUCGAGCGCGAAUGGAGCAAUCCUAGUAGAGCGGCGCACGGGUGCGUAACACGUGGAUAAUCUGCCUAAAAGACCGGAAUAACCUGCCGAAAGGCUGGCUAAUGCCGGAUAAGCCUACGGGUUCCUCGGAACCAGAAGGAAAAGGUGGCCUCUGUAUACAAGCUAUCACUUUUAGAUGGGUCCGCGGCCCAUCAGCUAGUUGGCGGGGUAAUGGCCCACCAAGGCAACGACGGGUAGCUGGUCUGAGAGGACGAUCAGCCACACUGGAACUGAGACACGGUCCAGACUCCUACGGGAGGCAGCAGUGGGGAAUUUUGCACAAUGGGCGAAAGCCUGAUGCAGCAACGCCGCGUGUGUGAUGAAGGUCUUCGGAUCGUAAAGCACUUUCGACCGGGAUGAAAACCCGUUGGCUAACAUCCAACGGCUUGACCGUACCGGGAGAAGAAGCACCGGCUAACUCUGUGCCAGCCGCCGCCGUAACAC